CCAGGCUCGGGAGGCCCCCAGCAAAUCGGACGCUGUGGGCUAGGCCGCCACCGCGAGCCCACUCGCCCGAUACGCGCCUUGGGGUCCGGGUCGGCUUUCCCCGGGACCCCUGGCCGGAAACUGAGCCGUUCACUUCCGCCACCAGCCGGAAGUUUUCUGUCACUGGACGCCAAGGAGUUUUCGGUGGCUCAGCUGGGUAACCGGGGAUCACCAUGGCGGCCUCAUUGGUCGUUCAGAUUCUAGGAGAUAAGUUUCCAUGCACUUUGGUGGCACAGAAAAUUGACCUGCCGGAGUACCAGGGGGAGCCGGAUGAGAUUUCCAUACAGAAAUGUCAGGAGGCAGUUCGCCAGGUACAGGGGCCCGUGCUGGUUGAGGACACUUGUCUGUGCUUCAAUGCCCUUGGAGGGCUCCCCGGCCCCUACAUAAAGUGGUUUCUGGAGAAGUUAAAGCCUGAAGGUCUCCACCAGCUCCUGGCCGGGUUCGAGGACAAGUCAGCCUAUGCGCUCUGCACGUUUGCACUCAGCACCGGGGACCCAAGCCAGCCCGUGCGCCUGUUCAGGGGCCGGACCUCGGAACGCUGUCAUAGUAGCCGGCAUCUGGCUUGUCCACGGAGUUCAGGGGCCGGAUCGUGGCACCCAGAGGCUGCCAGGACUUUGGCUGGGACCCCUGCUUUCAGCCUGAUGGAUAUGAGCAGACGUACGCAGAGAUGCCUAAGGCGGAGAAGAACGCUGUCUCCCAUCGCUUCCGGGCCCUGCUGGAGCUGCAGGAGUACUUUGGCAGUUUGGCAGCUUGACUUCUGCAGCUGGAGGAGGCCCCUCAGGCCGGGGAUCUGGGGAGGGCUAGCCCAAAACCUCCCGCAUCGGGCAGGCACCCCCUGAAGUACUUCCUUCAGGGUUUCCCCUUUGUGAGGGUGUCGAGUAGCCUCACCGGCCUGUCUGGAGGAGCAGCUGGCUCUGCUCUGAGAAACUCUGGCAAGUGGACGCCAUUCUCUUGCCCUUAGGAUUCACUGCUCUCUCCUACAGCCGCCAGGCCUGGGGUCCUGAAAGGACCUUGGGUGGUAAAGCUGUACUUGGUGGGAGUGAGGGCGUGGGGAGGAACCAUGCAAAUCGCCUUCCAUGGUUUUUAAAUGCAGUAAAUAACAUUUCUGGAUGAGACUUGUUUCCAAAAUAAACCAG
rnacentral:lncRNA from 1 species